rnacentral:rRNA from 1 species
GAUGAACGCUGGCGGCGUGCUUAACACAUGCAAGUCGAACGGAAAGGCCCAAGCUUGCUUGGGUACUCGAGUGGCGAACGGGUGAGUAACACGUGGGUGAUCUGCCCUGCACUUCGGGAUAAGCCUGGGAAACUGGGUCUAAUACCGGAUAGGACCACCUCCUGGAUGUUGUGGUGGAAAGUUUUCUCGGUGUUGGGUGUGCUCGCGGCGUAUCAGCUUGUUGGGGGGGUAUUGGCCUACCAAGGCGUCGACGGGUAGCCGGCGCGAGAGGGUGUACGGCGACAUAGGGAGAGUGAGAUAGGCCAGAGACUCACGGGGGGGGGAAGAGUGGAAAAUAGUGCAAAGGGGGCAAGCCUGAGGUGGAGAAGCGGCGUGGGGGAGGAGAGCGUUCGGGUGGUAUAAACCGUUCGCGAGGGAGGAAGAGUUUUUGUGACGGUACCUGGAGAAGAAGCACCGGCUAACUACGUG